UAAAAAUCGAUUAAUGGCUUAAAAGUUGAAAGCCAAUUUCUUAUAAAGGUUUGUUUAAAGUUGCACUUUUAUAUUAUGCUAUUGCAGUUAAUCUAAUCGGGAGAAAUGACUGCUUCCUCUCCUGAUCUUUCUAUUCCAGUAGAAAGAACAAUUGGCUUCAGAAGUCCCUGACCAGGUAUCACAGAUAAUACCUCAAAAUAUAAUUUUAUUGUCAUUGCUUCCACGUUGACCUUUUUUUUUUUUCUUUUUUUCUUUUAAAUCCAUCUGGAUAAGCUGUGAGGUGUUCUGGUCUCAGCUGUGAAGUUACCCCACAGUGUUUCUCAGCAAUGGUUAUGAAGAAGGUUUGGUAGCAGAUGGAAGGUGCUUUACAGAAGAAAGAACAAGGAAGGGCAUGGCCCUGUGGACCUGACCUCACUCAGGAUGUGACGCUGUAGACGAUGCUGAAAGAGAGCCUGACCACUUGGAAGAUCAUGAGAUUUGUGUGAUCUUCUAUAAGCUAUCUGCUCAUUCAUCCACAUGAGACAUAGGUAAAAAGGUCAUGCUGCAUUUGAUUGUG
ensembl:lncRNA